rnacentral:lncRNA from 1 species
AGGCGGCCCCGGGCGCCAACUUUCAAAAGCGGGCGCGAUGGCGUCACGGGACGCGCCGCGAGUCGCGUCGUCACGCCGCACGCGCCCUCGCCGGGUCGCUCGUGGGCUCUGCCGGCGCCGCGGCGUCCUGGCUCCCGCUGGGUGGGGCUUCCUGGGCGGAGGCCGCCGCCCCUGGGCGGUGCCGGAUCCAGUCCGCUUGACCUUAUUCCCUAGCUGCUGUCUCCGGCCCCCUGAACCCGUACAGGGUUGGGGAAGUGGGGGUGGCUGGAGGAAGCGCGCGCGGGGCAAGCCAGUGGGGCUGAGGAGGCUCCCGGGCCCGGCCCCGCCCAGUCUCCGCCCCAGCCAGGCCCGACCCGCCCUCCGAAUGUCUUACAGCUGCCCGCCCCAGAGUAAGGCCCGGUCGGUUCCCGCGCGCUCCCAGCUCCGUGCCCGCGAGCGACGACUGGAAGGGCUGUCCUUGCUCAGCGGCUUUUGGUGAUCUCUCCGCCCUAGAAGAGGGCCACCUAAAAGCGGGUGCGAGAGGAGAGUGGGAGGGCCUCCUCUUGGUGUCCCCAGGCCACCUCAGCCCGGAGAGGUGGCGGAAAACCAGACUUGAUGCUUUAACACGUUCAUAGCAAUCGCUUUUUACUGAAAGGAGUUUCUGUAUUUAGCGCUGUGUAAUUCUGUGGAAACGUGCAUUUCUUGUCUUUGCGGGAGAGCUGUUCUCUGUGGGCGGAGACCUUCAGUCCCACCCCUCCCCAGGAGGCGCCUGCGGACCCUUCCCAACCUGCAGUCAAGUUGACCAAGAACUGACUGCAAGGUGCUGGUGGCUCUGGGAUGAGAGCCUUUUGGUACUUACAGGGAAUAUGACUCUUCCCUUAGAUAUCAAAUGGACCCAAUAUCUAGGGAGCAGCUUCUUCUCCAUCCAUCUGACCGUUCCGUUGUGAGAAUGCUGGCCCAAUAACAUACUCUUUUUUUUUCCCCUAAAGGAAUAAAAAAAUCUGUAUUUUUAAGAUGUCAAAUCUCCAGAGUUUUUAGAUGUUAGCAACUGAAUCAGAUGUUUUUAAACUUCAUGAGCUGAUUAAACCACACAGAUGAGCUGUCAGUUUACGACCCCUGGCUUGGCUUGGAGGAAAGAGUGAAGAGAAAUUCCAUGGCCAAAUCCUGGGGCACUCCAAUAUUGGGAGGGUAAUGGAGAAGGAGUCUGAAAGGCAGCAUCUAGGAAGUCAUGAAAGCUAGCGCUGAGUUGUGGAAUCCCUGGGCAGAGAAGGUUUCAGGUAGGAGGCAUCAGCUGAGCGGUGUGAUAAACUUGGGCCAGAGAUGUGGCUAUUGGAUUGGGUCACCUUGCAAGUCACUGGAGAAUGUCACUGAUGGCCUUGGCUUGAUUCACGUGAGUAUAUCAGGGAGGUGGACCUGACCGGAAUGGGUUAAACAGUCACCAGGAAAGUGAGGAAAUGGAGACAGCACAUGUAUGCAAUUUGAGAGAGGUUUUGCUGUGAAGGGACCAGAUAAGUUUGGGGAUAGAUAUAGAAAGAAAUCUUUUAAAAGAUAGUAGGGGCCGGGCGCAGUGGCUCACGCCUGUUAUCCUAGCACUUUGGGAGGCCAAGGCAGGUGGAUCACCUGAGGUCAGGAGUUCGAGACCAGCCUGGCCAAUAUGGUGAAACCCGGUCUCUACUAAAAAUACAAAAAUUAGUUGGGCAUGGUAUCGCGCGCCUGUAAUCCAAGCUACUGGGGAGGCUGAGGCAGGAGAAUUGCUUGAACCCGGGAGGCAGAGGUUGCAGAGAGCCAAGAUUGGGCCACAGCACUCCAGCCUGGGCAACAAAGCGGGACUCCAUCUCAAAAAAUAAUAAUAAAUAAAAUAAAAGAUGGUAGGGUUCCCAGAGCAUGUUUAUGUGCCAUUGGGAGGGAUAUGGUGGGGAAGAAAGAUGGGUGAUCCAGGAGAGAGGAGGCUUGCUUGACCUAUAUAGGAGUGAAAUCCAUCAGAAGAUAUAAGGAAACAGGGAGGGUUGACCUUGGAGAGGAACAGGGAUGCUUCCAUUCAUGAUAAGGGCAACAAAGGUGAAGACAGAUGCAAGUGCAGGGGAGAGGGAAGGCAAGUCCUUAACAGGAUUGCCUUGGUGGCAUUGGGUACUCAUCUGAGGUUUGUGAUCAUGAUGUUAAAGGUAAACCAGUUGGCCCAGUGUGUUGGUUUUUCUCCAACAUUCAGCUGCUUGGGUACAGACAUGAAGAAAAGGGAUAGUACAGCUUCUCAACACCAGGACCCAAUUUUU